GGCUCAGUGGUGCAAUGGUAAGGCGUUCGUCGCCGAGUCAGAGGGUCCUGGGUUCGAUACGCAGCGGGGUCG
rnacentral:tRNA from 1 species